ACUGGGUAAGAUGACAUUUUAAGUCUGGACUUGAUUAAAGUGUAUAUGACUGUGUGACAGGAAUAUUGAAUUCUGCAAUUGUACGUAAUUGUAUCUGGAUUUUCUGUGCAAGUCAGCAAAGCUCCACUUAUAAGACGACCCAGUCCCUCAAACAAAUCCUUGUGACAAGCGUCUUUAUCGUAUUUUAGUUCAGUAGUGUGCUUUUGGUACCUGUCUUAUUUAUUCUAUAUAAAUGAUGACACAGUGCUUCAAGAACUUUCUGGAGAUUGCUUUCACCAACACCUGCUAAACUCGAAGGAGCAUUCAGAAACCCAUAUGGCAUUACCAAGUAAUCAUAGUGGCCCAUGUUUGUGAUUUGUUUCCAUAUCCAUCAGCCAGCUCUCCCCCUCAUACAACAGCUACCCAUAGCUGAGUUUCAGAAUCUCUGUAGAACCCCAAUAUGGGGAGGAAGACUCCGGAGACCAAUGCCCCUGAGGUCACAGACUAGGCAUCUAAAGCUAUCAAAGAUCAAUAAAGAUGAUAGUUGUAAAAGAGCAAAGAAGCUGGGAAUAUUCUCAGAGUUAUGAGGACUGGAGGCGUGGUCUUUGCAGCAAGCCAAAGUCACGAAGCUUCUCAAGCACAUCAUCAUGCAGGUUGGUAGUUGCAUGAUUACUGCACUGUAAGAGCACCUGGCGGUUGUAUACAUCAAUAAAGCCACUGUCUCUGGUGUCCAUGUACUUUGAAAAGUCAGGGUAAACUCAGGAAUAGCACUAUUUUGGAUUCAGAGUGGCCGCUGCGUGCACACCGCUAUCUUGGAUUAAAGGACAACUGCUGAUAUUACUGAAGUGUGUAUGUAUACAGGUCAGCGCUAGUUUGUGUAUUUUGUGUAUCUGUGCUUUUGUCUCGACUGUUUGCACUAGGUUGCACAUGAUGCACUUUAUAUG